rnacentral:lncRNA from 1 species
AAAUGAUAAAUUAGACUUUAUCAGAUUUAAAAACUUUUUUGCAACAAGUGACAUUAUUAAAAGAGUGGAAAGAAAAUGCACAGAAUGGGAGGAGCUAUUUGCCAAUCAUACAUCUGAUGAAGAAUUAAUAUUCAAAAUACAUAAAAAAACUACAACUCAUCCAUUAAAAAAACAACGCCAUUCAAAAAUGGGUAAUGGACAUGAAGAGACAUUCACGCCGCUGUCCAUCACCCACACAACAGGUAGAGUAAACCUUUCAAACGGGAAUUAGGGCACAUCAUCACCACCACAUCCCAAAGCCACUCUAGCUUCUUCCCCUCUUAGUGCAAUGAAACCCCAAUGUCUCACCAUUUCCUACAAGCCCCUCAACACAGGGCCCCUCUGUCAACUCUGGGCUCAUCCCACUCCUCUCAGCCCAGCUCACUUGUCUCCACUCACACCAGCCUCUUGUCACUGCUCUGCCCUAUUUCUGCCACCUACCCAUGCUCUGACUCCCACAUGUACCUGCUCCCCAGGGAUUCACAUGACUCACUCCUCACACGAUUCAGGUCUCUUCUCAGAUAACCAGUGGUCAAGUUCUCAGAAACGUCUUGCUCAAUGACCUUGUCUAAACUAUGUCCCUGCUAUUCCCACCAUCACCAAUCUUCUGGCCUAGGCAUAUUUUUCUCAAUGGCAAUUAGUGGUAAUACUAGGUUUUAUUUGCUUACUGUCCAUUGGUAUAUUAGGGUUCUCCAGAGAAACCCAACCAACUGGAUAGAUAGAUAGAUGGACCAUAGAGAGAAGGAAAGCACCACAGUCACUGAAGUAAGGGCCCUCAUGGAAGAGGUGUGACAGGAAAGGUCUGCUGUCCCAGGGCCACCAUAUAUAGGAGUGACUCCCAUCCUGGGCAGGACCUUUCUUUCUUUUGUAUUCACAGUAGUUCUGAAAUUGCAGGAUGCUGAAACCCAGCACCGGCCAGUUAUACUGUUUCUUUCUUUACCAUUAAAUGCUGUGCCAAAGAGCACCUUAAUACAUUUCUUUCCUCUUCCUGGAGAGAGGCAAAAUGAUAGUAGAUAUGUUGAAA